rnacentral:lncRNA from 1 species
AUGGCAUCUUAUUGGACCCAGAUAUUCUAUCCCUUCUUCCCUACCAAACUCACCUUGCACGGAAAAGUCAAUGGGAUCUCAGCGUGUGAAAUUACACCAGUGGAGUUAUCACACAAAGAAAAUUUCUUCGCUGCAAAUAAAGAGAUCACAGAACAUAACUUCCAAAGCUGUGAUUCCCCAAACAGGGGUGAAUAUGAUAUGGGAAACAGAGGUAGAAGAAAAAUUAUUAAAUUUCCUUACCUACUGACAAGCCCUUAAAACAGGCAGAGUGACUCUCUUCUAGGGACUCAACUAACCCCACCUUAAGGCUUUGCUAAGGGCAAAGGGCAAUCCUAGCCUGACUCACCCCCUACCCCCAACCAGGAUCCUGUAAGUCUACUCUAACAAUUCCUUUGGAAACUUUAUCUCUAAACCUCCAAGAUAGUGUUGGCAAUUAUUCCCAAGCAUGUGGCCCACUGAUAAACAUUUAAAGGGUCUCACAAAAAGGUUUUAUUACUGGUAAUGAAUAACCUUUCCCCCAGACAAUAGCUAGCUCCUCAAGGUCCUAAACCUUGCUUCCAAAAUUCCUUAGAGACUUAUGUCAUCCCUAAUUCCCACCCCAACUUACAAGUAUAUAAUAGACCCCAGGUCAGCAGCUCUUCCUGCCCAAGCGUCCUGUCCCCGUGCUUUAAUAAACCACCAUUUUGCACCAAAGAUGUCUCAAGAAUUCUUUCUUGGUCUUUGGCUCCAGACCUCACCACCAAACCUCACCUACGUUCAUCAAAUAGGUCCC